UUCCUCCAGGAGCCAGGACUGGCAGGGAGUGGACAUGGUUCUCAGGUGGCUGCAGCAUUAAUGGGGGCCACGUAGUUUCAUGAUGCCAUUUACUGGAAGACAUACCUCUUCCAGCCAGAAAGCAAAAGCCCUGGACUUCUCUGAUUGGCUCAUGGCUUUGGAGAGAACUGCUAACACAAACUCAUUCUCGCCCCCCUGGAGCUUCCGUUUUCCCUGGGGAAAACAGACGUCAGCCAAAGAACAAAGGAAAAAAAUUACAAAAGAUUCCAGCUUCUGGUCCAGGCCUUCAGAGAAGAUUCUAAAUUGAACUGUCAUAUGACCCGCAAUCCCAUUAAAAAUAUCAUCCAUCU
rnacentral:lncRNA from 1 species